UACGAAGGGGGCUAGCGUUGCUCGGAAUUACUGGGCGUAAAGCGUGCGCAGGCGGUCUUGCAAGACAGAUGUGAAAUCCCCGGGCUACAACCCUGGGAACUGCAUUUGUGACUGCAAGGCUAGAGUACGGUAGAGGGGGAUGGAAUUCCGCGUGUAGCAGUGAAAUGCGUAGAUAUGCGGAGGAACACCGAUGGCGAAGGCAAUCCCCUGGACCUGUACUGACGCUCAUGCACGAAAGCGUGGGGAGCAAACAGG
rnacentral:rRNA from 1 species